rnacentral:lncRNA from 1 species
AUUUGGGGCAAAGCAACACAGGAGAUUAUAUCCAAGUAAAUGACAAAUGAAAGUAGCUGAACCAUUCAGUACACCCUGUGGCUCAUUAUGCAGCCAAACGUAGCAGUACUGUCUCUCUUCUCUCUUUAAUCAUGUAGGUUGGAGUUUUCAAUAGGGCCAUAAGGGAUUUUAGAUCAAUCUAGUUUGAUCUCUUUAUUAUACAAAUGAGGCUCAGAAAGAUUAAGUGACUAGUUCAAAUCACAAAAGCAAUAAGAGGAAGAAUAGGGUCUUGAACUCUGCUCUCUCUGUUCUCAGCCCAGGGCUUCCCCUAUUCUUCUCCAAGACCUUUCUCCAGUAUUAUCAGCAUCACAAAUGCUGCCUGAGGGCUGAGAUCAAAGGUUGGCUCUCCCUUUGGUGUUGCAGACAGGGAGGGAUUCCAGUCCUGCCCAGACCUGCCUGGAGGUUGAGACUGGUACAAGGAAUUCUUGGAACCAAGGAUUGUGGUUGGAAGGCGAGUGUGUGGUAUGUGAAGAUACACCCCAAAAGGAGGCUGGAACCAUAAGGUGGGGCCCUCAACUGCCCUCAUCUUCCCCAAUGGCUCAGAUGGAACUUGAGGAAGUCUCAUAUCAUCUCCUGUGGACCGUGUGUCUUCAUGUGAAUGAUGUCUUCAUCAUAUUUGAAACCUGUUUGUGGCCCAUGAUGGAUUUUCUAU